UUUUCCUUAUUCUCCUUUUCUAAGAUGCCUAGGAGGCAGAGAAGGCAGAGAUGAAACUCCAUAUUUGACAGAUGAAGAAAUUGUGACUGAAUAAGAGGACCUGGAUCAGUACCCUGUGGGAGACCUAUAUUGUUAGUGGGUGUGAUCUGAAUAAGGAUCUGACAAAGGAGACUGAGAGGGAGCAAACAGACCCCUGAAAAAUGAUAUUUAACAAGGGAGGAAUAUAAAAGUCCUACAUGAAUGUGAAGAGUCAACUAAAUCAACUAAAAAAAUGAAGGAUCCAGGAAGCCUACCUAGACAACAAUUGAUUCCUUGAAUUCAGAGAGCCUUCAUUCCAAUUGUUGCAGUGAGCUCCCAGCUCAGCGAGAAAGAGUAAGAGGAGAAGGUACCAUUCUCAUUCUGGUUCCAAGAGAAUGGUGGAGGCUUUGGUUUGAGGCUCUCAGGCCAGAAAGCUAAGCUUGGGGAACUGCAUUGAUAUGAAACCACCUGAAAAUGAGGCACCACCCAAUUUGGAACUAGGGGAUCUAGGGGGAAGACACAACAGGGAUUAAACUCAUUUCACAGAUGAAGAAAUCGAGACCAAGUAAAGGACAUUCUUGCUCAAAGUCACAUGGUAAUUCAGUGUAAGAGUUGAAGCUAGAAUCCAAGUAUUAAUUCAUUCAAUUUAAUAAAUUAUUCUUUCUUAA